UCAGGAAAGCAGGUGGUUGUCUGUUAGACUGCCACCGGCCUCGGCCUCGAGGGGAUGGUUACCAGUACGAGUGGCACCGGGGGGGACAGAGGCACCGCGAAUCAUCCGCAGGACGCGGCCGCUGCCAGUGUCCAAGAAGCCACCCGGCUCUGGGGCAGACGCGACCCCGAUCUCUCAGGCCUGCUCCCGGGACCCAGGACUCCCUCCCGGCCUCGCCCGGCGUCGGGAUCGGUUACCUGCACCGCUGCGGGCGCCGAGCGGUGAAAACGCCUCUUCAGCAGCCCAGAAGCCUGGCAGGGAGAGAGAAAAGGUUUCAGAAAGGGCACAGGGCCUACGGCGGGCGCUCCAGGGGCCGCUACCUACCUGCCGCAAGGGUCCCCGCACCAGACCAGCCACCGCCGCCAUCUUGCCCGUGUCCUCUACUCGCCGCCGAAUGACAACACAGAAGCGCCGCAGACCCCGUCUGGCGCAGCCAAUGGUAGGGCGUGACACCUUUAGGACCCACCUCCGUUCAGCAAAGCCAAUAGAGAGUGGUAACUGAGGAAGCCAAUAGCAAGGGGCUAUUUCAGAGGUUCCGCCCCCAGGUAGAGCUCCGCCUCUGCUUGCUUAGCCAACGGCCGGUUUCGACGCCUGCGCGCCCCGCCCACCUAGCGAGUCGCUGUCCUGAAGAGGUGAUGUGAGGCUGCUGCUGUUCCUCUCUGACCUGGUGCACUGGAGAUAACUUUGCAGACCGCCUGUGGCGGCUGUCAUGCACCUAGCACGCCCUGCACUCAGCCUUGACUGCUAGCUGCUCACGUGCUAGGACUGAGUCAGUGCGGCCUGAUCCGACCGAGGCUGCGAGGACCUUGCGGCCACCCCUUUGCGGGUACUGAGGGCUUUGAGCAACACAUGAAUCUUGCACGCACAACAGUGGGGGGUGAACCUACCUUUAUAUGAAUGGGCGCUGUCAAUUGAAUGUAAACAAUAGCUUUCAUAUAUGUCCUAAGCGUCCACUGUGUGCUAAGUAUUAUGAUGUGUGCUUGAUAAGUGCUUGUAGGUGGUUUCUGCUAGAAUCUCCAUCCAGGCGCGAAGACGCGAGGAGGUUGUUCUGAUGAUGCUGAAUUAAGAUGGCAUACCCGAACUGGAGAAGAAGCCGGAAGCCUAGUUUUAGCAGAGCUAGAGACAUCUGAGAAUAGACUGUUCAGAGUUGCCUAUAGAGGGCGCUCUCUUCUCUUGACUGGCGAAUGCCACUGAAAUCCUGAAGACCUGCUAAGAGCCACUGCCGUGCAACCAACUACCACCAUGUGUGGCCUUCCUAAAAUAUUAACACUUAUGUUCUCUGGCCUCAACCACAUUUUUUGUGGGUUGGAGAGCUCAGAUGCAGAGCCCACAUUUGGACUUCGUAGCAGCAAGCUGAAAGAGGGAAGAGUCCAGAAAGCUUCACCCACAUACUGCACAAAGACCUUUGAGAAGAUGACAAAAUGACUCAUUUCCAGGCACAAAGGGGACAUUUCCUAGCAUCCCAAUCAUUUUAAUACUAAU